ACACACACACUCAUUCGGCCUGAGUAUUUGGUUGUAGAUGGGGACUUGGAGUUGUUGAGUGAUAUUUUUGAGAAGGUUUCUCCACUUGAUGUUUGUCUCUCUGUGAUUUCUGUGGGUGAUUGUCAGCCAGCACUUCCCGCUGGUGCCUCCUCCAAAAGUGCCAAGUGUUUAGUUUUGUUGAAUUAUAAAAAUUGUGAUAAAAAUGGAUGCAAUAUCGGAAUUUCUGCAGCCCUAUAAGGGUAUUGUGAGUGCAGCGGCAGGAUUUGCCACGAUUGCGCAGUUCUUCAGUGGUGCUUUUGUCUGCAAUGAUAUCCGGAAGGCGGGAAGUGCCGAGAAAUUCCCCUUCUUGCCCUUCAUCGGCGGUACAGUGUUUGGAGUACUUGGCCUUCAGUACGGAGUCAUCUUGCGCGAUGAAACGAUGAUUCCGGUGAAUUUAGUCGGGCUGGCCUUGAACAUAAUGUACGUGUGCUUCUUCUAUUUGUACACCCCACCCCACCUCAAGAACAACAUUUGGUUCCAAACGGGCAUCGGUGGAGCCUGUUCGGCUGCUGUUGUGGCUUAUGUCCAGUGGGAGGAUGAAGAUUUGGUGGAGACGAGAUUUGGCCUAAUCCUCACCGCUCUAAUGGUGUACCUAGUCUCUGCUCCCCUUCUCGAUUUGGGCACAAUUGUCCGCAAUAAGAGUGUGGAGGGAUUACCCUUUGCCAUCAUCUUGUCCGGUACAGUUGUGUCCUUCCUGUGGCUCCUCCAUGGUUUCAUCAUUCACAAUGCCAUCAUGGUGAUGCAAAAUCUAUUCUUCUUCGUUCUCAGCGCCUUCCAACUCUCCCUCUUUGCCAUCUACCCCUCAAAACCGCCACAAUCCAACGCGGCCAAUCCCCAAGUGGCCAAGAAACAACAGUAGGAACAGGAUAAUCAGUCCAGGAGACAAUAAGAUGGCUAAAUCAGCAACUGUCGGACAAUAACUUGUGAGUAAUUUCGUCUUCCACAGUACAAAGAGACAAAGAAAAGAAAAAAAAACAAAGGAUAGAAGAUUGAAAAAAAAGAAAUAAUUUUAUUUUUUUGAAUGUAAAAAAACGAUUUAAAAUCUCUGCUGCAAUUUUAUCAUAAUAACCUUUCGUGUGUGAUCUAAAAGUAUAAAUAAAUUAAAUAAAAAGAAAAUAUAGAAGAAAAUUUACACAUUAAAUGAACUCGAUGAGAAAGAAAAGACCAUGGUAAUAUCCAUUUUAGAAUGAAAUUGUUAUUCAAUUAUAUAAUGUUUCAUUACAUAAUGAUUCAAUGUAUACGAUUAGCUUCUUCAUUAUCUCACAGUGUUAGUUACUGACAAAAAAUAUUUACUUGUGCACAGCAAUUUCCUGUGGAUUGAGAGAGGAGCUGUAAGAAUUUUUGGUGGGAAGAAAUUAGUAGAAACAAUUUCAGGGGAACCAAAAAAAAUAAAAAAAUAACAAAUUUGUGGAAAGAGAUGAAACACGAAGAAGUUAAACUAUGCAUUUCCUAAUUGUGUAAUAAUGAUUUUUUAUUAUUCAAUAAAUGAGACAAUUUAGAAGUUUAAAUAAAAAAGCCCAAGGAAAAUAGAAACAGAUUACAAAUCGAUAAGAACUAAAUUUUCUUUCGUUUUUAUGGAAUGAAUUUUGGAAGAUUAUAAUUUUUAAUUUAUCUGUCUGAUGCUCUUAACUUCGUUCUCUCUUGUCGAUUUUUUUCCAUCAUCUUAUACUUUAUCUGUCUCUCUUCACUAAAGUGUACAAUUAUCUAUUGUUGUAAUUUAUAACUUCUGUGGCGCUUUAUUUUCCUUUUAAUAUUUUCUUUAUCAAAUAUUUCCAUUACACUAGGCAACAAUUUUGAAGUUUUUUUCUCGUGUUUGAAUUCUUAUUUUUGGUUGAAAGUAAUUUUCAAUGAAAAUCCUUGUCAUUUUCAUUUAAUUGUGAUUUUGCCCCUGUAAUUUACGCAAAACAGUUUUUGCUGGUUUUUGGUAUUUAGGUGACCAUAGCUCGGAUUCCACUGAACCGAUUUGAUUCUAAAUUGGAGAAAGUUAAAGGUCUUUGUAUGACUCUCAAUUCACUACAAAUAAUGAAGUUCGUAAAAUCACCACCAGAGACGCCAUCGUCUCAAAUAUGUCGACGUGAGGUGAGGCUACAUUCAAAACGAUAUUUUUCGUAUACCUACUCCGAAAAAAGUUUUUUCAAGUUAACAAAACAAGUUUGUCAAAAGGAUGUUCGUCCAUUUAAACCAAGCCUGAGCUUAAAGAAAAGCCGAAGUGAGUUUGAUGGUGCCUGUUGGCAUUCUUCAAAAUGCCGCGAAAAUUCAUGUAGAGAAAAUGAGAGGAUUUUUAAUGUGAAAAUUUGUUUAAUUUCUUUUUUUUUCUCUUUUUUUACGACAAAUAACCAAAAAUUUCACAUGCAGUGGCUCAUAAAUACACUAAAAACUCAAAAUUGUUUGUCUUCAAGUUAAUUAAGUAAUUUAAAAUGAUUAAAAAUGUCCAGAAUUGCCAGAACGUGUCCUAUUAGGCAAAGUGACACGUUUUAAAUGGUUAAUUUAAUUGUUUUGUUAAUUGUUAAUUUGUUUAGACGGGGUCAAACAUUAAACUUUCCACAAAAACAGCAAAAUUUUUAUCGGAAAGGUUGUAGAAAUAUCAUAUAUAACUUUUUUAACUCAUUUCCUUGCGCAUUACCUCAAACAUCGAGGUAUAAUCGAAAAAAAAAGAUCAUAAAGCAAAAUGGACACAAUGACAUUUUUGAGCAAAUAGUCACUCUACCUUUAAGGACGAGUGGGACAAGUGUCCCAAAAACAAAAACAUUUUUUUUUGACUAUAGAAGUUUCUUAUGAAAGUUCGAAAAAUUUGUUGUCAUUUGUGGGACAUCGGUGUCCCAUUCGUCUUUAACCCUUUAACGACGAGACAGUUUUUACGGACUGAAAAUCAGCAAUAAAAAUGAAACAGAUAAACAAAAUCAAUAAAAGGUCUUACACCUAACCUUGGAAAGUCCAACAGAGUCUGAUUCUGUGUAUGUUUUUCCUCUAUGAGCGAUAGGAACAAAAAUAGCCCAAAAAUUUAAGUAAUUUUUCUAACAAUACCGAUGAAUGAUAAUUUUCACUCCUAUGAAAAAUAUUAUUUUUGAGUAUUGUAGUUUCUUUUUCCAAAACAGUUUUGCAUAAAAAAAAUUGGAAGUAUAAAAAAUCAUUAAAAUUAAUUUUCAAUAUGACAAUUUAAAAUUCGUCAAUUUUUAAGCAUAAAAAUUGACUAUAUAGCAAAUAGCUGGAGACUUGUAAAAAAUAUCCUAUAUUCCUUCAGCCUUCUACUUUGCAAAAACGUACAAACAUAAGAAAAAAAUAACUUUAGGUAGUCAGGAAAAUUUUUUUCGCUAUGGGACACCGGUGUUCCAAUCGUCCUUAAAGAGUUAAAGGCUUAAUUUGCUUAGUCGCAAGAUGCAAAUUCCAUUAUAAAAGUGUGAAUAUUACAUUAAGCACGUGAUUCUAGGAAAUAAAGUGUACAAUUUCAAGAAUCUAACAAGACAAAUUCGUCUUAUUUCGAGGUCCUGACUGAAAAAUAUUGAAAAUUUAGUGAAAAAUAUUCAUCAGAAAGACCAGGCUAUAGCAAUCACUGUGGUGAAGGUGAUUAGCUCCAUCAUUCAUGGUAAAGUAUCUUGGUCCGACAUAAUAUCAAUGCACUAAGAAUAAAAAAAAAUCAUUUUUAAAAUUUUUCUUUGAAAUAUUUGCGAAAAUUUAAUAUUAUAUUUGCCAUAAUCAUUUUUAAAUUUAAAUUUAUAAAAUUAAUGAAAAUAAUCUUGAAACGAGCGAGUUUUCACACAAUUUUGUUAAUUUACCACGUUUAUAUGCAAAAACUCGGGUUUUAUAUGAAAAUUACGAAUGAGGGAGACCGGUAAUGCUUGGGAUACUUUUUCUGUUUAGAUUUUGAGACAUUGGCCUCAAUUCUGAGACCAAGGUCAAGAUCAAAAUUUCAAGCUGUCAAAUAUUUCCAAGAUUAAGAUUUCAUAUUCUAACGCGAAGCAUUUCUGGAACUUUAAAUGUCUUACCUAAGAACCAAGAUUUUCCACACUUAUCGAAACGUCACUUCUGACAAAUAAUAUCUUCUUCUUUGUCGAAUUUAUUGAAAUUUCGCCAUAUUAAAUUAGAAAAAAUAAUUAUAGUUUGUAUUAAAUAAUAAUGACAGGAUAUUAUUUGGGAAUAAAAGAAGUGCACACAAAAUUUGUGACGUGUGAUAAACCCUGAAAUGCUUAUGCAAGAUGUCAUUCUUUUGCAGGUAUUCUCAGCGUUUGUACUUCAAAACGUACAUCUAGAACGUUUUGAACCAUUACGAUUAAAUUACAAGAUCAAACAUAGUAUUUUUCAUAGUCAUUCUCUUUUUGUAUCAUCCAAAAACGAUUUCCGCAUGAAACUCUUCAAAUUGUUAGUAUCUUGAAAAUUCCAAGCACCUCCGAGAGGUUCUUGGAAUUAUUUCAAGAAAACCAGAAAUUUGACGUCUUGAAAUCUUGGUUCCAGAAUUGCAAAUCUUGAUAUCCACACAGCUUGUGUCUUGGAUUUCAAGAUUCCAAGACAUUUGACAGAUUUGACAUCUUGAUCUUGAUUUUUUUGAUUUCAGAAUACCAAAAUCUUGAAAUUUUCUUGAUUCUGAUCUUGGUUAUGAUCUCAGAAUUGAGUGCAUUAUUGUAAAGGGCCAAAAAGCUGUUUUAGAUUUUUCUAUGGCCCAUAGUAGGGGAAAACUUUGAGGUUUCGUACACAUUUACGGCUUCGAACACUUCAUACUUUUUUCCUUUAAUGAAUUUUGGCUAUGGUAAUAUAAAUUAAUAGCUAUUAUUAAGUCGCACAUUUCUUAAAAACUUAAGUCAUCAAAAAGAAACAGUUGUUUUUUGUAAAAGGAUUAAAAGGCUUGUAAUCUUGGAAUUCCUGACGAUAUUGAACCGGUUCCAGUCCGUUAUGAAUCGGAAAUGAACCGAUAAAUAAGUUUUAUAGUAAAAUCAAUUCUAUUACUCCUGAUCCUAAAUCAUUUUGGGGGAUCUUUUGAGUGAUUUAUGAAUCGGUUCAAAUCGGUUUGUGAAUCGGUAAACGGUAAAUGAUGCGAAAGUACUUAUGAAGUAUAGCAGUAUAGUUGGGUAUUUCGCAAAGCCUGGGACACUUUAUCACCUCUUUAGCGUAAAAACAUUAGGGUCGAAUGAACACUUCUUCGACAGGGAACCCCUAUUAACACUUUUGUCAAAAUGUUGAAAUUUAUUUAAUGUAUCUAAUAAAAUGUAAGUAAUAUGGCGUUUUUUCAUUAAUCUACUUCUACGUUUUUCGAUAAGGGUGAGUGUUCAAAUUUCGUAUUCCAAAUGAUACAGAGUAGGGUGUCAAUAGGUCCUGACACGAGUUCUUAAACUGUCAAUAGGUGUUCCUUUCACCCUAUCAUUUUGUAAAAUUACACGUUCCUGUACUGAAAAGUCCAAGAAUCUUUGAAGAGAUACUUUCGAAAUCCUGGAAGAAGUAUACGGGCCUUUAUCUAAUCCUGAAUUGAAAUUUUAAUGUAAAAUUGCUUUUUCUGCUAAAAUGCGCUUUUAUAAACAAAAAUUAGAGUAACUAAAAAAAGAUAUUGGUUUCUAAUUAAAAAAAAACAUUUUAUAAAAUUGUCAAAAUAAUUAAAGUUUUAUGAUUUAAAAGACCGAAAAAGUUGAAUGAAAUCUAUUAUAUUAUUUUAACACAAAAGUCGAAGAGUAGAAAAAAUCGAUAAAAAUGGUAUUUUCAUUUCUGGUGCUGUCGGUGAUGGUUUUACAAACUUGAUUACAGGGAGUUCCGCUUUGAAAGAAUUUUUCAAGACCGAAAAAAGCCAGUGAAUUCACUCCAAUGACACAGUAAAAUUGCAUACCUGCAGGAGAUAUCUUUAGAAUAUGUUACAAAAAAACCGUAACGUAUGCAAGACAUUUUCAGCGCCAAUUUUUCAGCCUAUAUUUUCAGCGCAAACGGUUCAUAAGAAGUGCAUUUCAAAUUUACCACGUGUAAAAAUUGCAUACAUUUAGGGGGAUUUUAAAAAUGAUUUUUUAAAAAUUAGCUCCCAAUAGUAAGCAAUUUUUAUCAAAUUCUUCCAGUCCAUUUUCUCUUAAGCCGGAACUUCAUGUAGUUCUAAAGAAUUUUAUAUGAAUCAAAGGCCUUCAACUUUCCUUCAGUGACGAAUAAAAUCGGUUCAGUAGAAUCGGAGCUAUCUUUACCUAAACUCAAAAAACCAGUAAAAAUAUUUUUGCCUGCAUUACAGGCGCAUAGCAAAAUUAAAUCAAAAUCAUGAUUUUUUAUUAAUAAAUUGACCAAAAUAAAAAAAAAACUUAUAAAAUAAGAACUCAAAUACGAAAAAAACCAAAAAAAAUUGUUGCAUAAUUUUAUCAGUUUGCUUUCAACUUUUCUUCUUGUCUCUCAAACUAUUUUCUACAAAUUCACCAUUUACAGAUUUUAUAGGUAAAAAAAUCACAAUGUACUCUCUUUUAUGUUUUUUUUUCUCUAGAAAAAUAGAACCAUUAUUUUCCAUUUAUGUAUGUUUAUUAAAUAUAUAUCCUUGGUUAGAAUA